GUUUAAGACUUCAGUGAGAAACUUAAUUAUAACUAUAGAAGGUUUCCUUUUAAUGAUUUAAGCAUUUUCAAAUCGGGAAAUUAAAAAAAUGGGGCCAAAUUACCUUAUUAAUUUAGUUCAGAAAAUUUAGGCUCAACUAUCUGACCUUAUAAAAAUCAGGUUUAGUAAAAGAGAUAUUGCUAAAAAGAGGCAUAGAAAUAAUAGGCAAAUUGAGGUGCUGUGAGUUUUAGUCAUGUUGCAAGGUGAGGAGGAAAACAAGUGAGCGAGG
rnacentral:misc_RNA from 1 species